GAUGAUGCCAGCUUGCUGGUGGAUUAGUGGCGAACGGGUGAGUAACACGUGAGUAACCUGCCCUUGACUCUGGGAUAAGCCUGGGAAACUGGGUCUAAUACCGGAUAUGACCUUCCAUCGCAUGGUGGUUGGUGGAAAGCUUUUGUGGUUUUGGAUGGACUCGCGGCCUAUCAGCUUGUUGGUGGGGUAAUGGCCUACCAAGGCGACGACGGGUAGCCGGCCUGAGAGGGUGACCGGCCACACUGGGACUGAGACACGGCCCAGACUCCUACGGGAGGCAGCAGUGGGGAAUAUUGCACAAUGGGCGAAAGCCUGAUGCAGCGACGCCGCGUGAGGGAUGACGGCCUUCGGGUUGUAAACCUCUUUCAGUAGGGAAGAAGCGUAAGUGACGGUACCUGCAGAAGAAGCGCCGGCUAACUACGUGCCAGCAGCCGCGGUAAUACGUAGGGCGCAAGCGUUAUCCGGAAUUAUUGGGCGUAAAGAGCUCGUAGGCGGUUUGUCGCGUCUGCCGUGAAAGUCCGGGGCUCAACUCCGGAUCUGCGGUGGGUACGGGCAGACUAGAGUGAUGUAGGGGAGACUGGAAUUCCUGGUGUAGCGGUGAAAUGCGCAGAUAUCAGGAGGAACACCGAUGGCGAAGGCAGGUCUCUGGGCAUUAACUGACGCUGAGGAGCGAAAGCAUGGGGAGCGAACAGGAUUAGAUACCCUGGUAGUCCAUGCCGUAAACGUUGGGCACUAGGUGUGGGGGACAUUCCACGUUUUCCGCGCCGUAGCUAACGCAUUAAGUGCCCCGCCUGGGGAGUACGGCCGCAAGGCUAAAACUCAAAGGAAUUGACGGGGGCCCGCACAAGCGGCGGAGCAUGCGGAUUAAUUCGAUGCAACGCGAAGAACCUUACCAAGGCUUGACAUGAACCGGACCGCUGCAGAAAUGUGGUUUCCCCUUUGGGGCUGGUUUACAGGUGGUGCAUGGUUGUCGUCAGCUCGUGUCGUGAGAUGUUGGGUUAAGUCCCGCAACGAGCGCAACCCUCGUUCUAUGUUGCCAGCACGUGAUGGUGGGGACUCAUAGGAGACUGCCGGGGUCAACUCGGAGGAAGGUGGGGACGACGUCAAAUCAUCAUGCCCCUUAUGUCUUGGGCUUCACGCAUGCUACAAUGGCCGGUACAAAGGGUUGCGAUACUGUGAGGUGGAGCUAAUCCCAAAAAGCCGGUCUCAGUUCGGAUUGGGGUCUGCAACUCGACCCCAUGAAGUCGGAGUCGCUAGUAAUCGCAGAUCAGCAACGCUGCGGUGAAUACGUUCCCGGGCCUUGUACACACCGCCCGUCAAGUCACGAAAGUUGGUAACACCCGAAGCCGGUGGCCUAACCCC
rnacentral:rRNA from 1 species